rnacentral:rRNA from 1 species
UACCCUACGGGGCGCAGCAGUGGGGAAUACUGCACAAUGGGCGAAAGCCUGAUGCAGCAACGCCGCGUGAAGGAAGACGGUUUUCGGAUUGUAAACUUCUGUUCUUAGUGAAGAAUAAUGACGGUAACUAAGGAGCAAGCCACGGCUAACUACGUGCCAGCAGCCGCGGUAAUACGUAGGGGGCAAGCGUUAUCCGGAUUUACUGGGUGUAAAGGGAGCGUGGACGGUUACGCAAGUCUGGAGUGAAAGGCGGGGGCCCAACCCCCGGACUGCUUUGGAAACUGUAUAACUGGAGUGCGGGAGAG